UUAAUGCAGUUGCAGAAUCAUUUCACAUCAUUUCACAUUUCAUCCAAAUUUGGCAAUGUUUUGACCGAUGACGUGUAUGUUGAGAUUUCAGUCAGAAGGAGCAGACUCGUCACGACCGACACAUCACUUCCUCACUGGGAUAUAAGACGGGUGUAUCCCAAGAAGUUGGCUUGCGGUGUCCAGCCACUGACUGUGCAAAUUCUGAACGGAGCUUUGCGGAGCUGCCACGAACGGCUUCCAUAGCCGGCUACAGCUGUAGCCUACCGGAUUUACCAUGAAAAAAGUCUGCAACUAUAAAAGAAGACAUGCUGAAGCCCAAUUAUUGGCUGAGGGAAAUGGGCAAAAGAACAUCGCUUGCGCCUGGCUACGUGAAGAGUGGGCAGGCCCAGUUCUGGCGGCCCUCCAGUCACCACUCAGACAACAAAAGUCCC